rnacentral:rRNA from 1 species
CCUACGGGUGGCAGCAGUAGGGAAUAUUGCUCAAUGGGGGAAACCCUGAAGCAGCAACGCCGCGUGGAGGAUGAAGGUUUUCGGAGUGGUAAAUCCUUUUUGUAGAGGAGAUAAUGACGGUAUCUAACGAAUAAGCACCGUCUAACUCGGAGCCAGCAGCCGCUGUAAUACGGGGGGUGCAAGGGUUACUCGGAAUUACCGGGCGCAAAGAGAGCGUAUGCGGGAUAGCAGGUGAGAUGUGAAUUCCUAUGGCUUAACCAUAGAACUGUAUUUGAAACUGUUAUUCUAGAGUAUGGGAGAGGUAGGUGGAAUUCUUGGUGUAGGGGUAAAAUCCGUAGAGAUCAAGAGGAAUACUCAUUGCGAAGGCGCCCUGCUAGAACAUAACUGACGCUGAUGCGCGAAAGCGUGGGGAGCAAACAGGAUUAGAUACCCGGGUAGUC